UCAUGCCGCGUGCUAAUACAUGCAGUCGAGCGAAUCGAUGGGAGCUUGCUCCCUGAGAUUAGCGGCGGACGGGUGAGUAACACGUGGGCAACCUGCCUAUAAGACUGGGAUAACUUCGGGAAACCGGAGCUAAUACCGGAUACGUUCUUUUCUCGCAUGAGAGAAGAUGGAAAGACGGUUUACGCUGUCACUUAUAGAUGGGCCCGCGGCGCAUUAGCUAGUUGGUGAGGUAAUGGCUCACCAAGGCGACGAUGCGUAGCCGACCUGAGAGGGUGAUCGGCCACACUGGGACUGAGACACGGCCCAGACUCCUACGGGAGGCAGCAGUAGGGAAUCUUCCGCAAUGGACGAAAGUCUGACGGAGCAACGCCGCGUGAACGAAGAAGGCCUUCGGGUCGUAGAGUUCUGUUGUUAGGGAAGAACAAGUACCAGAGUAACUGCUGGUACCUUGACGGUACCUAACCAGAAAGCCACGGCUAACUACGUGCCAGCAGCCGCGGUAAUACGUAGGUGGCAAGCGUUGUCCGGAAUUAUUGGGGCGUAAAGCGCGCGCAGGUGGUUCCUUAAGUCUGAUGUGAAAGCCCACGGCUCAACCGUGGAGGGUCAUUGGAAACUGGGGAACUUGAGUGCAGAAGAGGAAAGUGGAAUUCCAAGUGUAGCGGUGAAAUGCGUAGAGAUUUGGAGGAACACCAGUGGCGAAGGCGACUUUCUGGUCUGUAACUGACACUGAGGCGCGAAAGCGUGGGGAGCAAACAGGAUUAGAUACCCUGGUAGUCAACGCCGAAGACGAUGAGUGCUAAGUGUUAGAAGGUUUCCGCCCUUUACUGCUGCAACUAAGGCAUUAGGCACUCUCCCUGGGGAGUACGGCCGCGAGGCUGAAACUCAAAGGAAUUGACGGGGGCCCGCACAAGCGGUGGAGCAUGUGGUUUAAUUCGAAGCAACGCGAAGAACCUUACCAGUGUCUUGACAUCCUCUGACAACCCUAGUAGAUAGGGCUUUCCCCUUCGGGGGACAGAGUGACAGGUGGUGCAUGGUUGUCGUCAGCUCGUGUCGUGAGAUGUUGGGUUAAGUCCCGCAACGAGCGCAACCCUUGAUCUUAGUUGCCAGCAUUCAGUUGGGCACUCUAAGGUGACUGCCGGUGACAAACCGGAGGAAGGUGGGGAUGACGUCAAAUCAUCAUGCCCCUUAUGACCUGGGCUACACACGUGCUACAAUGGAUGGUACAAAGGGCUGCAAACCUGCGAAGGUAAGCGAAUCCCAUAAAGCCAUUCUCAGUUCGGAUGCAGGCUGCAACUCGCCUGCAUGAAGCCGGAAUCGCUAGUAAUCGCGGAUCAGCAUGCGC
rnacentral:rRNA from 2 species